rnacentral:rRNA from 1 species
GGCCGCAAGGUUAAAAACCAAAAUAAUUGACGGGGGCCCGGACAAGCGGUGGAGCAUGUGGUUUAAUUCGAUGCAACGCGAGGAACCUUACCGGGUCUUGACAUCCACAGAAGAAUCCAGAGAUGGAUUUGUGCCUUCGGGAACUGUGAGACAGGUGCUGCAUGGCUGUCGUCAGCUCGUGUUGUGAAAUGUUGGGUUAAGUCCCGCAACGAGCGCAUCCCUUAUCCUUUGUUGCCAGCGAUUAGGUCGGGAACU